AACUUUUAGCAACGGAUCUCUUGGCUCUCGCAUCGAUGAAGAGCGCAGCGAAAUGCGAUAAGUAAUGCGAAUUGCAGAAUUCCAGUGAGUCAUCGAAUCUUUGAACGCACAUUGCGCCCUUUGGUAUUCCGAAGGGCAUGCCUGUUCGAGCGUCAUUAUCACCCCUCAAGCCCCGUGCUUGGUGUUGGACGGCCGGUCGAGCGAUCGACCCCUCCUAAAGACAAUGACGGCGGCCUGCGGUUCCCCCGGUACACUGAGCUUUUAACCGAGCACGUAUCGGACCAGGGCACCCGGGACCCGGUCCUCUCCUUUAACUAGGAAACUUCUAAGGUUGACCUCGGAUCAGGUAGGAAUACGCGCUGAACUUAAGCAUAUCAAUAAGCGGAGGCU
rnacentral:misc_RNA from 1 species